GAGGGUAUGGCUCAAGCGGUAGAGCACAUGGUUAGCAUGCACAAGGUCCUGGGUUCAAUCCCCAGUAUCUCCA
rfam:Camelus ferus unplaced genomic scaffold scaffold812, whole genome shotgun sequence.